rnacentral:rRNA from 1 species
GACGGAGGGGGCAAGCGUUGUUCGGAAUUAUUGGGCGUAAAGGGCUCGUAGGCGGACCGGUGUGUCUGGCGUGAAAUCUCCACUGCUUAACAGGGAGGGGCCGCUGGAAACUGCCGAUCUUGAGUAUGGUAGAGGACCAUGGAAUUUCGGGUGUAGCGGUGGAAUGCGUAGAUAUCCGAAAGAACACCGGUGGCGAAGGCGGUGGUCUGGACCAAAACUGACGCUGAGGAGCGAAAGCUAGGGGAGCAAACGGG